GUCAUCCUCUGUGCAUUACAGAAGGAAGGAGGGAACCCAGGAGAAGGGCAGAACCCUGGACUGCGUGGAUGUGCCAAGACUUGCUUUUAAUGUAUUUCCUGCUCUAUCUAGAAGGGAAGAACAAAGAAUCUAGUGAGACCCUCUUCUGAUGAGAUGUCCACAGCAAUUUAAAUACGUUCAGAAGAUCUGGAUACAUGAUAUGUUCUAGAUCAUAUUCAAAACCACGGUCCUGACCACUUGUUGGUGUUGAUGGAAGGAGGGUGUCUCGGCCCAAUUCCCACUGACAUUUACCAUUCAAAUUUUAUGCAGGGAAAACAUAGGAUCUGGCCCAUUGCAGCUACUGUGAACAAAUAGGCAGGGCCUGGGGUUCUCAGAUGGUAUAUAACACCAUAGCCCUACUUCAAUUGAGUUAUGCUGAUUGACACCAGCUGAGGAGAUGACCACCGCUUCUUUAGUCCACAAAUAUGAAAAGAGAUUAGAAAAAGAGACCAACAUACCCUGAAAUUGUUCCACAGUAACAUCUCCAGUAUAACCAGCUAUCAACAGCCUGAUCUUCAAUGAACAAAUUACAAUUUUGAUUAGCUUUUACAAACAUUCAUCUUUUGCUGCCUAAUUCAGGCUGCAAAACCCUUUCAACUAAAUGACUUGCUGUUGCACAGUGUACCAUUAGCUUAUAAAAACCUGCUGCUGUAAGCAUCCAUUACCACAAAGCUGCUAGUGACAUAUUGAUUUUCAAGCUGCAGCUGAUCCCCCUUGAGACUACAGAGCAUAUGGCUGUUUGUUAGACCUGCUGGGUAAAACAUGUUGAUGACAAAAGAAAAAAUGAAGUCCUUUAUUGUCGGUGUGACUUCUUGUUUCAUUAUUUAAAAAAAAAAUGAAAUGUUAAUUGUAUUUAGACUGAGCUCUCUUAAGUACAGGUUCUUGGUCUUUCUCUGUAUUUCAGCAGUAGUUGGUAAUGCUUUAGUACUAUGGCUCUAAUAAUUAAACACAUUAGAAUUUUGAACCUUGAAAGCUAGGUAUUGGAAGACCAUAUUAGGCAGUAUCUCUUUUUACAAACUAGAAUUCAGAUUAUAGUAAAAGACGUGCCUUCAAUGGGUUUUGGAUCAGGCUUCAAGAAAAGAACACCUGUAAAAGAAAUUUCUUGUUUACCCCAUUGAGUUCCUUCCAAUAUGUCUAUAUAUUGGUGUAUCAUAACGUCCAUAUUUAGCAUAAAAUCAGAUUCAUUUACACUUUUGAAUAUUAACAUGUACAAUUAAUUUUUAAAACCUAGAUGUAGGUGACAAGACCUCAGCAGAGGUGCUCAAUAGGGACCUGCUUUUUUUUGCUUUCUAUAUCUAGUCAUCGAAUACUUGCAUAAACUCCAGUCUACAUUGAGCAGCAGAUCCGUCUGCACUGAGCAGAAUGCUUAAAUGUAUGCAGCAAAUCUCAAAUUCAGAGUUAGCAGAAUGAUGACCCUUAAAUAGUGCAGCCUAAAUGUAAACCCCCAUUUCUUAUACUUAUUUCAUGAUGUUCAGCCAAUAACACUUUUAUUGCUGUAUUUACAGGGGCUGUUUCUACAUGCUCUGAGUUGGUAUGGAAACAUUCUGGACAUGGUGGCAGUAUAGCGCCUUGAGUGACUGUAAAGAAGUAGUUGCUAUUUCAGCACACUAGAGGGAGUGCAGGAAGUUGCUAACCAGGCUCCGUAGCUGUUUUGAAGCUAACGUUGCAGGAGUCAUUAAGGGCAAACGUUCCUGCAUGUACCACAUACCAUUUUAAUUAGAAGCUGUAAACACCUGGCCAAUCAGUAGUAAGUUCUGUCAUAGGUACAAAACUGGUCUCCAUUUGAGCAUCAGUCAGAUCCAACCCAGCCCUGCAGGGAGAAAACAGAGCUGCCUUGGGUAACUCAGACUGAAUUGGGUGGGUGGUGGAACCAGAGACCGUGUGAGCCUAACAAUUGCAAUAAUUGUCAAGUUUUCUUUCUUAUAUGAAGCUGUGUAUGUGAUCAGUGUUGUGGAAGCUGAAAUAACUGGUUAUACAGUACAACUAAAUGCUUUAUCUACUUGUCAAUAUAAUACAAAGGGUGAGCUGACGUGAAAGCUUAGUUUCCAUCUACUAUAUAUGGUGAGAAGAAUACAUAGAACCUUCAGAAUCAUGUCGUGUUAGUAAUGAGCGAGUGAGUGAGCAUACAAUUCAUGUGGUAGAUCCUUGAACAGCAUAUGACUGAUCUGGUAGCUCUCUGAAAGUAGAUCAAGACUUUAGUUCCAAAGAUGUUCUCUGAAGAAUGAUAGCCUGGGUCUGACAAGGAAGG